rnacentral:lncRNA from 1 species
UUUUUUUUUUUUUUUUUUUUACUUUCCUUCUUUAGAGCGAAAGUUCAUAAUAUAAUAAACACGUUGCCUUUGAGAAAGCACUGAAAUACCAGCUGGCAAAAAGAUGGAGUAUAUAUCUUUAAAUAGUAGAAUGAACAAUUGAUACGUUCUUGCUGGGAAUUCACCUAUAUAUGAUAAGUAUUGCUUAGCACCAGAUGCCUGGUUAAUUUUGUUUGUUUGUUUGUUUCCUAAUUAUAAAUGAGGUGUGUAUGUUACACCAAAAUGAUGACCACAAUCUAAACGGUCUGUAGAACUCUCAUACGCUGCUGGUCUUGAACUCAAUAACAAAAAGAAAAUAAUCUGAUUUAAAAAUGGGUAAAGGGUCUUAAUGGACAUUUCUUCAAAGAAGAUAUAUGAAUGGCCAAUAAGGACAUGCAAAGCUAUUUAAUAUCAUUAAUAAUUAGGGAAAUGAAAAAAAAUAAUUAGGGAAAUGCAUAUAUCAAAGCCAUGAUGGCACACCAGUACAUACAUACCCCUUACAAUGGUAAUAGGAAUAAUAAUAACAUUCAAUAAAAAUAAAAGGUAGCAUGUGUUGAUGAAAAUGUGGAGAAAGUGGAUAUAUUAUAUUAUAUAUAUAUAUAAGUUAUAUAUAUAAGUUAUAUAUAAGUUAUAUAUAUAUAUAUAACAUAUAUAUCCACUUAUAUUUAUAAACUUAUGCAUGGGAAGUUUAUCAUAUACAAUGUAUAUUUAUUACAUAUUUACUUGAUUGUAUAAUCCUCCCCAAAUAUCUUCUAUUGAGAUGUUAGUAUGUUAGUUUGGUAACUAAUAUGUUCAUAUCUCUAAUUAUAGUAAACUACUUAUAUCAAUUAAUACUUAAGGAAUAUAGUUUUGAUGUAAUAAUUAUUGCUAAGUCAAACACAUAUUUGAUAAGAUUCUAUUAAAUCUUAAAAUAAUGUCAUAUAAAUAUCAAUUUUCUUACAACCAAUAUUGACACUUUAAGUGUCUGUUAGUGUUUUAGAGGAAAGAGAGAUAGUAUUGAAAUUUAUCAGGUAUGCUUCCUAUUCUCAACAGACAAAUAGAACAUUAGAAGAGAUGAGUAUGUGAAAACUCUAAUAUGAGCCAAAUGGGUUCAGAGCUCUAAUAAAUGUAAAGCAAAGCAAUAUAAUCUAAAAUAGUGAUAUUAAUUCAGAUUGGAAAACUAGGGAAGACUUGAUAAAAGUAAAAGAAGGAGAUAUUUGAGCUGGAAUAGUAUAAGAAAAUAAAUCUCUUAUUUUGUUACUUUAAGAUAAUUUUUGUCCUUUCAUUAUUAAAACCCUUCAUUUUCAGUCUAGCUUUUGGGUAUUUUAUAAUAUUUAGAUUUACUUCUAAUAACCUAGAGUAAUUACUUAUGGAAGCACCCUGGGAAAUAAAUGCAAAGUUGGUUGAUUGUGAUCACUUUUUAAGCAUAUAUAAUUAAAAGUCAAAAAAAUACAAUUUAUUUACCAAGCACAGAGGAAACUCAAUAGAAAUCUGCAGGGAUCAUCUUUUUAUCACUCAGUUAUCGUAUCCAUCUUCAUUAUAAAGUUUCCUGUAUAAGAACCAGAUACAAUAAACAUGACAAUGGCAUGAGGCAAAUUAUAAAAAUGAAAUACUAACUCAAAGAUGAUUGAGGGUUUAGCUUACUUGAGCUAAACUUUGUAAAAUAUACGAUCGCUCCUUCCUGUGAAUGUUUCAUACUAAAUCUUACUUUGAUUUAUGAUGUUGGAAACCUAUGAAGGCAUGCUUUCUAAUACAUAUACCCAGUCACGGCUGAAUACCUCACUAAUGUACUAUAUUCCCUGAUGAACCAACCAAUUUAAUAACUUUGCCAAUGCCAGCUUUUGAACAAAGCAGCCCCUCAUUGACAUUCCAGUGCAGUAGCUAAUAACAAUUAGAUUUCAUUAUAGCAUUGUAUCUUGCUAUUGUCAUCCCAACAAGAGAUGCUUUCCUUAUAAUCCGUACAAUUGACAUAAAUGUAAAUGUUAGUCCAACCCACCAAAUAAGUAGUCUAUGGACCCUCAUUACCAGAUAUGAGCUCACAUCUGUCUCAUUGUCAUAUAUUGUUUUUCCAUGUCAUUUAUUUUCUAGUCUUUGAAAAGGCUCCAACAUUUUUCAAUUUUUGAAAUCCUGUCACUAAUUUGGCAAAAUUGUUCAGGCUCUAGAGAAAUGUAUCUCUUUUUUGUUAAUAUUGUCCUUUUAGAACCCAAGUAACUAAACAGUGUGCUUAUCUACACAUUGUAUGGAUAGAAAACUCAGGUUUUCUUAGUACAGAUGUUAGAAUCUAAACAUUACACAAAGUGCUAUAUUCAAAAAAAUUAUCAUCUUUGCUUCUUUGCUCACCUAGACGGUCAUUUUGGCAAUUUGACAAUAAUGACAAAAGACUUGUAAAGAUGUUAAAGGAAAUAAUAUAAUUGAAAUACGUUGUUCAAUGUAGACAAGACAGGGUUGAAUUUGCAUUACUAUAGCUAUAGAGAGCUAUAAAAAGCCAUUUAAAUUAAACUGAUUAUCAAAGUAAUGGAAUGGCAUAUGGAUAUAUGAACAUGGCAUUUAAUGGCUUUUUCAGGAUUUCCUUUAAGUUACAUUAACCUUCAGAUUUCUGAAAAGACGAUGAACCAACAUAGGUUGCUGAAAUCUAUUCUAUAGGAAGAUGCCACAGAGAAGCAAGGAAUUUGAUGGACCACAGACACAUUAAAACUAUGAAAAGUCUCUUGGAGAGAUUAAAGAUGGUUGGUAUCUAAUAGGAGAAACUACACAGUGGUCCAGAGCUGAGGCUGAGGCAAAAUUCUCAUAUUGUUUCCUCCUUCUCCCUGACCCCCACUCAUCACUGCAAUGGGUGAGUCAAUGCUCUGUCCUCAGCAUUAAAAAGGAGAAAGCAAACAAACAAAAACAGUAAGACUAGCCCAAUCCAAACUAGAGAAUUUGGGAGUAAUGCCUUAGGAUACAAACUCAUGGGCACUAACUAGUAUGGCCUUGUGAACCAAAAUCUCUGAGGUGGGGCUAAAUUAUUUGUUUUAACAGGUUUGCUAGGAGCUUCUGGCAGGAAGCUCAAGUUUUGCCAAGAGCACUCAAGUUAGAGAAGUUCUAGAGCCUACAUAGGGUGGAGAGUGGUUAAGAGAUAUAGGUAUAUUUCUAGCAAAAAUCUCUCUUUCCAUGGAAGAACAACAGUGCUGGAUACGAUAGUCCUCCAGAAAAAAUCGUAAAGGAAGAGGAUGAUGAUAGUUGGGUGAAGAGAGAAAAAUGAAAGUGAUAUAUUCUAGCCUUUCUGUUCUGAAGCAUUUAACUUUCUUUCUAAAAUCUCCAGAAGCAUUAUCAAUAUCCUUAUAAGGUAAAGGAGUAAUAUUGGAAAUAUUAAAUAAAAACAAAUUUUAAAAGAUUUUAUUUAUUUAUUCAUGAGACACACACACACACACACAGAGGCAGAGACACAGGCAGAGGGAGAAGCAGGCUCCAUGCAGGGAGCCUGACAUGGGACUCGAUUAUGGGUCCCCAGGAUCAGGCCCCAGGCUGAAGGAGGUGCUAAACCGCUAAGCCACCCAGGCUGCCCAAGUAAAAAUAAUUUUAAAGAAAACCCAAAGAGAAAUAAUGAGUAUAAAAAAAGAAAAUAUUAAUUUACUGAUGGGUUACAUGGCCAGAUGAAUUCAACUAAAGGACAAACUUGUAAACUGAACCAUUAAGUUCAGGAAUUCUCCCAGAAGGCAAAGAUAAAGAAAUAAAUAAUGAGAGACAAAGUAAGCUAAGAGAUAGAAAGGAUAGAAGGAGAAAUGUUAAUGUUCAUUUAAUAAUAGUUCCAUGAGAGAAAAUAUGAGAAGAAUAUUUGAAGCAAAAAUGACCGAGAUUUUUUCAGAACUAAGACCACAAAUUAAAAGGGUUCAUAAUAUACUGUUAAAAACAAACUUAUACUAAGCCUCCGGUUGCCAAACCAGGACUUAUCUUAAUUACAGUUUUGGCCCUUGUAGAAAUGGGACCUCAACUCAGUUGUGGGGAAUCACCUGGUCAGCACUAAUGAGGUAAUUGGCUGGGUAGACCCCUGUCCUCCCUGGAGGGAAAGUGACCUUGCCACAGGAAUCCACUUGUUGCUAGUAUAAUUUCCUUGUCCUGCUCCCUUUUGCCUAUAAACAUCUUUCAUUUUGUACAGCUUCUCAGAGCUCCUUUCUGUCAGCUAGAAGGGAUGUUGCCUAAUUCAUGAAUUGUUGAAUAAAGCCAAUAAGAUCUUUAAAAUUUGCUCAGUUAAAUUAUGUUUUUUAACAAAACUAAACCAUGGAGAUGGAGGUGAAGGUAGGAACACUUGAGAACAUAACUAAAUUAAAUUUAACAACAUUAACAGCCAAACAAUUUUUUUUUUCUAAAAACUUCCUGAGGGAAAAUGCUUACAUCUACAAAGUCCC